AUGAACGCUGGCGGCGUGCCUAAUCCAUGCAAGUCGCGCGAACAGACGAGGAGCUUGCUCCUCUGACGUUAGCGGCGGACGGGUGAGUAACACGUGGAUAACCUACCUAUAAGACUGGGAUAACUUCGGGAAACCGGAGCUAAUGCCGGAUAAUAUAUUGAACCGCAUGGUUCAAUAGUGAAAGACGGUUUUGCUGUCACUUAUAGAUGGAUCCGCGCCGCAUUAGCUAGUUGGUAAGGUAACGGCUUACCAAGGCAACGAUGCGUAGCCGACCUGAGAGGGUGAUCGGCCACACUGGAACUGAGACACGGUCCAGACUCCUACGGGAGGCAGCAGUAGGGAAUCUUCCGCAAUGGGCGAAAGCUUGACGGAGCAACGCCGCGUGAGUGAUGAAGGUCUUCGGAUCGUAAAACUCUGUUAUUAGGGAAGAACAAAUGUGUAAGUAACUAUGCACGUCUUGACGGUACCUAAUCAGAAAGCCACGGCUAACUACGUG
rnacentral:rRNA from 1 species